AACCAAAAUUAAGAGAACAAAAGACAGAUAUUUUUAGUAAUGGAAAAUGUUAAAGAAUGCCAAGUGAAAAUUAAAUGGUAUUCUUUAAGGAAAAUUAUUUUCCCUUUCCCACUAUUUUAGCAGCAAUAAAUCUUAAAAUAAUUUUUUUACACUUAAUACAGAAUGUUAGUGGUUCUAUAAGCACUCUAUUCAUAUGAAGUGACAGGAAAAGGAUCAAGUGCAGAGUUUAGUAUACUAAAUCCUCAGCCUAGAAGAGGAAGUGUGGCAGUAGUUUUGACAACCAUUGGUGGUCCUUAACUGGGAAAAAAAAUACAACAUAGAAUUCACAGAUCCUACACAAAUUUCAUUUCAUGCGUCAUUGACAGUAAAGCAUCUAGCUCAACUGUGUUAUCAAGGAAAAAUCAUUGGGUGAGCAUGGCUUACCAUUACCCCACACUAAUAAGAGGGCAAGUCACACAGUCCUUUAAGUGUGGUCUUAUGGUGAGUUGACCUCACCUAGUAAUUAUCCUUCCCAAGGAUCUAACAUAAGAACAUCAAUGUUGAUCAACUGCCAUUAGCUCAAGAUUUUGACACCAAGUUAUUUAAGUUAUUCCCAUGGUACCCAUGCAUCUACUGAGAAGGUACCCAUAUUAUUCUCUAGUCAUCAAUAAACAUUACACUCAAACAAGACCAACAAUCUACAUCACAUAGUAUCAAUAGAAGUUC